rnacentral:rRNA from 1 species
GGUUAACGCUGGCGGCGUGCCUUACACAUGCAAGUCGAACGGGGCAUACAGCGAUGUAUGCUUAGUGGCGAACGGGUGAGUAACACGUGGGUAACCUGCCCAUAAGAGGGGGAUAACAUCCGGAAACGGGUGCUAAUACCGCAUAGGUUUCUUGGUCGCAUGAUCGAGAAAGGAAAGACGGCCUUUGUGCUGUCGCUUAUGAAUGGACCCGCGGCGUAUUAGUUAGUUGGUGAGGUAAUGGCUCACCAAGACGAUGAUACGUAGCCGACCUGAGAGGGUGAUCGGCCACAUUGGGACUGAGACACGGCCCAGACUCCUACGGGA